GAUGAACGCUGGCGGCGUGCCUAAUACAUGCAAGUCGAGCGAACGGACGAGAAGCUUGCUUCUCUGAUGUUAGCGGCGGACGGGUGAGUAACACGUGGAUAACCUACCUAUAAGACUGGGAUAACUUCGGGAAACCGGAGCUAAUACCGGAUGAUAUUUUGAACCGCAUGGUUCAAAAGUGAAAGACGGUCUUGCUGUCACUUAUAGAUGGAUCCGCGCUGCAUUAGCUAGUUGGUAAGGUAACGGCUUACCAAGGCAACGAUGCAUAGCCGACCUGAGAGGGUGAUCGGCCACACUGGAACUGAGACACGGUCCAGACUCCUACGGGAGGCAGCAGUAGGGAACAUUCCGCAAUGGGCGAAAGCCUGACGGAGCAACGCCGCGUGAGUGAUGAAGGUCUUCGGAUCGUAAAACUCUGUUAUUAGGGAAGAACAUAUGUGUAAGUAACUGUGCACAUCUUGACGGUACCUAAUCAGAAAGCCACGGCUAACUACGUG
rnacentral:rRNA from 1 species